rnacentral:rRNA from 1 species
CCAUACGUAGGUGGCAAGCGUUAUCCGGAAUUAUUGGGCGUAAACGCGCGCGUAGGCGGUUUUUUAAGUCUGAUGUGAAAGCCCACGGCUCAACCGUGGAGGGUCAUUGGAAACUGAAAAACUUGAGUGCAGAAGAGGAAAGUGGAAUUCCAUGUGUAGCGGUGAAAUGCGCAGAGAUAUGGAGGAACACCAGUGGCGAAGGCGACUUUCUGGUCUGUAACUGACGCUGAUGUGCGAAAGCGUGGGGAUCAAACAGGAUUAGAUACCCUGGUAGUCCACGCCGUAAACGAUGAGUGCUAAGUGUUAGGGGGGUUCCGCCCCUUAGUGCUGCAGCUAACGCAUUAAGCACUCCGCCUGGGGAGUACGGCCGCAAGGCUUAAACUCAAAGGAAUUGACGGGGACCCGCACAAGCGGUGGAGCAUGUGGUUUAAUUCGAAGCAACGCGAAGAACCUUACCAAAUCUUGACAUCCUUUGACCGCUCUAGAGAUAGAGUCUUCCCUUCGGGGGACAAAGUGACAGGUGGUGCAUGGUUGUCGUCAGCUCGUGUCGUGAGAUGUUGGGUUAAGUCCCGCAACGAGCGCAACCCUUAAGCUUAGUUGCCAUCAUUCAGUUGGGCACUCUAAGUUGACUGCCGGUGACAAACCGGAGGAAGGUGGGGAUGACGUCAAAUCAUCAUGCCCCUUAUGAUUUGGGCUACACACGUGCUACAAUGGACAAUACAAAGGGCAGCGAAACCGCGAGGUCAAGCAAAUCCCAUAAAGUUGUUCUCAGUUCGGAUUGUAGUCUGCAACUCGACUACAUGAAGCUGGAAUCGCUAGUAAUCGUAGAUCAGCAUGCUACGGUGAAUACGUUCCCGGGUCUGGCAC